rnacentral:rRNA from 1 species
CCUAGAAAAAAUCUAAGGUGAUACCUGCCCAAUGAUUUUAAGAAUCGAUAUAAACAUUUUAUAAAAAAUUUAAAGGACGCAGUAACUUGACUGUGAUAAAGUAGCAUAAUCACUUGCCAUUUAAUUGGUGGAUAGUAUGAAUGGUUCCACGAGUCCUCCACUAUCUAAAAGAGAGAAAUCAUGAAAUUAAAACAAUAGUUAAGAUUCUAUUUAAAAUUGUAAGACGAAAAGACCCUAUAGAGCUUAACUACAAUUUUCCUUAAAAUACAAGAACCAUCUUACAAAAUAGGAAAAGGGCUAGUUUAGUUGGGGCGACUGCCUUCUAAAAAUAACGAAGGUAAGCUAAGUUAAUAAAAAAUUUACUGUACAAUUAAUAAAUUUAACAGUUACUAAAGUAGGCCAUAACGACCCGUUGAAACCUAGUAAUAAGAUUAACGAUCAAUAAAUAAAAGUUACCUUAGGGAUAACAGGAUAAUUUUAUCUUAGAGACCAUAUCGAAGACAAAGCUUAUCACCUCUAUGUUGAAUUAAGAUAACCGAAUAGCGCAGAAGCUAUUGAGGGUAGGUCUGUUCGACCUUUAAAAU